GAUGAGGUGGCCGAGUGGUUAAGGCGAUGGACUGCUAAUCCAUUGUGCUCUGCAUGCAUGGGUUCCAAUCCCUUCCUCGUCG
rnacentral:tRNA from 2 species